rnacentral:rRNA from 1 species
UGGUGGAUCAGUGGCGAACGGGUGAGUAACACGUGAGCAACCUGCCCUGGACUCUGGGAUAAGCGCUGGAAACGGCGUCUAAUACUGGAUACGAGACGCAACCGCAUGGUUAGUGUUUGGAAAGAUUUUUCGGUCUGGGAUGGGCUCGCGGCCUAUCAGCUUGUUGGUGAGGUAAUGGCUCACCAAGGCGUCGACGGGUAGCCGGCCUGAGAGGGUGACCGGCCACACUGGGACUGAGACACGGCCCAGACUCCUACGGGAGGCAGCAGUGGGGAAUAUUGCACAAUGGGCGGAAGCCUGAUGCAGCAACGCCGCGUGAGGGAUGACGGCCUUCGGGUUGUAAACCUCUUUUGGCAGGGAAGAAGCGAGAGUGACGGUACCUGCAGAAAAAGCGCCGGCUAACUACGUGCCAGCAGCCGCGGUAAUACGUAGGGCGCAAGCGUUAUCCGGAAUUAUUGGGCGUAAAGAGCUCGUAGGCGGUCUGUCGCGUCUGCUGUGAAAUCCCGAGGCUCAACCUCGGGCCUGCAGUGGGUACGGGCAGACUAGAGUGCGGUAGGGGAGAUUGGAAUUCCUGGUGUAGCGGUGGAAUGCGCAGAUAUCAGGAGGAACACCGAUGGCGAAGGCAGAUCUCUGGGCCGUAACUGACGCUGAGGAGCGAAAGGGUGGGGAGCAAACAGGCUUAGAUACCCUGGUAGUCCACCCCGUAAACGUUGGGAACUAGUUGUGGGGUCCUUUCCACGGAUUCCGUGACGCAGCUAACGCAUUAAGUUCCCCGCCUGGGGAGUACGGCCGCAAGGCUAAAACUCAAAGGAAUUGACGGGGACCCGCACAAGCGGCGGAGCAUGCGGAUUAAUUCGAUGCAACGCGAAGAACCUUACCAAGGC